GUUGUCGUGGCCGAGUGGUUAAGGCGAUGGACUUGAAAUCCAUUGGGAUCUUCCCUUGCAGGUUCGAAUCCUGCCGACAACG
rnacentral:tRNA from 1 species